UACGUAGGGUGCAAGCGUUAAUCGGAAUUACUGGGCGUAAAGCGUGCGCAGGCGGUGAUGUAAGACAGUUGUGAAAUCCCCGGGCUCAACCUGGGAACUGCAUUUGUGACUGCAAGGCUAGAGUACGGUAGAGGGGGAUGGAAUUCCGCGUGUAGCAGUGAAAUGCGUAGAUAUGCGGAGGAACACCGAUGGCGAAGGCAAUCCCCUGGACCUGUACUGACGCUGAGGCGCGAAAGCGUGGGGAGCAAACAGG
rnacentral:rRNA from 1 species